UUCGUUCUAUAAUCCUUUAUAUA
rnacentral:tRNA from 1 species